AUCGUCACCCCUUCCUCCACACUUAACCAGUUAAAUGUGAGGCAGUGGGUGAAAGUUGACCUCCCGCGAGCCAGUUCCUCGUGUUGGUUGAAAAGCAAGUUCGGGGCGGAGUCCCCCACAUAACGGUGGAUGAGCCCACGCUCGAGACCAAUCGUGCCUGUGGGACUCCGACGUAACGGACUUAUCGACCCCACAAGCGCCCUCUGUGCAAACCGAGUGUGCCAUGUAC
rnacentral:rRNA from 1 species